rnacentral:rRNA from 1 species
UACGUAGGGACCAAGCGUUGUUCGGAUUUACUGGGCGUAAAGGGCGCGUAGGCGGCUUAACAAGUCACUUGUGAAAUCUCCGGGCUUAACUCGGAACGGCCAAGUGAAACUGUCAAGCUAGAGUGCAGAAGGGGCAAUCGGAAUUCUUGGUGUAGCGGUGAAAUGCGCAGAUAUCAGGAGGAACACCAAUUGCGAAGGCAGCUCGCUGGGACGUUACUGACGCUGAGACGCGAAAGCGUGGGGAGCAAACAGG